GUUUGUUUUCUACAAUUUUAUCUUGGUGUCACUAGAAGACGGUCAAAGGGAUGCAUACCGGAGCUGGGGGUUCGAGUUGAAGUUCCGAAUUGAGGUUUUUUGGCACGCGUAUUUGUAUUCUUGAUUGACUGAUAUUCAGAGUAAAAUUAUCAUUGAGGUCCAUUUCUACUCCUUUUCUCAUUUUAUUUCAUUGUUGAAGGAAUAUGGUGCAUUGGAUGGAAUCUAUGUGUUGUUUGAUCUUGAUUAGUGAUGAAUUGCUACUUUGAUAUUCACUUGUUGCUUAGUUUCAUUGAAAUGGAAAUCGUGAAUUGAGGAAAAUUAGCGUUAAAAGGGAAUUUGGGGUGUGAGAAUUGAAAACUUAAUAUAAUUGGUGAGUUUUGGUUAGUUUGAUUCAUGGGUUGUUUGACUCGAAAUGAACGUUAAUUGAACUUGGCAGUAUCAUGAUACGUCGAUUGGUUUAGGCAAACAUAGGUUGGGUGGCAAACAUAUCGGUAAAAGGUGAAUUUUAUGGUAUUUUGAUUCAUUGUUGAUGGCGAAUAUUGAUAGUAUCAUAUUUUAGACCAAGGAUUGAUAGGAAAAUCGUAGGUUCGGGUAGACAAAUUUAGGGAUGAUGUUUGGUUGAAUGCUUGAAAUCCGUGUUGAAUGGCUUGGUAUGUUCAUUUUUUGGAUCAAAUGUAUCAUUUGGCCGAGGAAUGCCCCGAGCGAUUUGUAUUAAUUUAUUCGAGAAAUGCCCUGAAGUAUUUUAUUGGUGGAAGACAUUCUUGAUGAAGGCCCGAGGCGUCGGGUAAACCACGGGAGCGUAGUUAGGAUUAGUAUAGGUUAGAUAGGAUUUAUUUUUGCAUUUUUUAUUUUGGGACUAUAUAACUCGAACUGGACUUUAUUUUGGUUUUGAACUCUAUUUGAUUUGUUUGUUGCUUACUUUACGUGUUUUUGUGUGAUUUAUACAUCUGUGAUAUCAAAUUAGCCGAUAUGCUCCACCAAGUGACCGUGGUCAAACCACGAGAUCGAGGGGUUCCUAACACCUUCCCCUGGGUUAACAAAAUUUCUUAGCCGGAGUCUCUGUUCGCAAACCAGUUGAAAGAGUCAAAUUGUUUUGAAAAGGAUCUUUUAAAGGUGACUUGACACACCGGAUUAUGUCAAGUGGUGACUCUGAAUAAAAAAUGUAAAUAAUCCUUUUUCGAAAUAAAUUUUUAAUCUUUUGUCACUUUGAUAAUAAAAACCCUUUCAAGCAUUAAAAUCAAAUCUGUUUUUGGAGUUGAAGAAAGGGGUGUGAUAGAGGGCACCUAACCAUAGUCCCAAUUUGGGAUGACAAGAAUCAAGGAUCACAAGAUCACAAAGCAUGGUACCAUAAUCCCGUGUCGGCAAAUCACAGUUUCUAUCAUAAAGUCUUUCAACUCGUACUUUCUUCGGGUAACCAUCUAACUCUCUUAAAUUAAACUCUAACUCUAUCAUGGCAUACAUUUAUAUGGUAUCGCCAUACCAAUGACUUACAAAUCACAGUACCACAUCAAUUCUCCAACUUUUCAUGCCAUUUACAGCAUGCACAUAUAUAAAACUUUCACACACAUCAAACACAUGAACCAUGGUUAUCAACAUGUAAUAGUUUCAAGAAACUCUAUCAUUUAUGAGUAAAAUCAUGUCAAUUGCAAAAUCUCAUGCUCUCAAUGGUUUAACAUAAGUACAGUGUGGGAUAUAAAACAUUAUCAUGGGGGAUUUAAAGAAUUCACAAUUCAUAUACACCACACCUUUUCAAAAUUCAGAUCACAUAUUCACAAUUCAACAAUUGAAAUAUAUGCAAGCCAACAACCCCAUAAUGUAUGAUGUGCAUAUCAUUAUGAUGUUCAGGGUCACAUUAUUGGAGAUUAUCGUGCUUCAAAAAGAGAAAUUGAAAAGAUGACUCAAGAUAAAUCAAUUAUGAUGCAGAACAAGGAAAGCUCUAGUCAUGCUGAUAUGCAAACCAGUGGCUAAGAUGUCAGGCUGAGCAAUUGAGAAGUCACCCCUCCCUACUAGGAAGAGGUCUGGUAGUUUUUUUUUGUUUUAUUUUUUGUUAUCCGAAUUAUUUCAGGGUUGUAGUUUGGGAUCUAUCUUGUUUUGUCCCUUUGUCGUUAUGUUCAAACUCUUUUAUCUUUUGUUUCAACUAAAUGAAGUGUCCCAUUUUCCUUUGUGUUUUAAAUAUGUCUUGUUUGUUUGUUGUCUUUACAUAAUACAUUUUAUGUUGACUCUAGUGAUAAGACAUGCUAGUGAAAUUUUCAGCCAGAUCUUAAAAUCCAGUUUAAGAAUGAGCAUUGAAUCAGAGGGUUAAAUUUAGAAAAAGAGAGCAUCUGAGAAAAUAGAUAGUGUCUUGGGGAAUUUAGUGAUCAAGUUGAAGCCUUUUUUGAAAAUUAAGGCAAUUAUUUUUAGAAUAGUGAGAAUAACUUGGUCAACAUUUGAAAGACAUAUCUCAAUUAGGUCAAAUAGUGGAUGCGUGAUCCUACAUUAAAAGGAAUAGAAAAAUUAACUCCACGAAAGCAUAAGGAAUGUACAACAAAGAUGGAGUUUGCAGAAAAAGUAGUGACGCAUAGUCUCACUUAAAAUUAGUGUUGUAAAAAAUAUCACAAAUGAUCUUCAUCUCUCACUUUCACAUUACAUGAUAUGUACUAGCAUUUUCAAGGAUUGAUAUGAUGAAGGCAAUUCAUUCUGCUAUUCAAACAUCGUGUCAUCCUUUGUUUACCUCAUUUGAGCUUUAGUCUUAUUUUCUUUCAUACCCCUCUUUUGGAAUCAAGAUAGAGUUAGCAAAGCUCAAAAGAAAGGUGUCGAGCGAAAAAAUAGAGUCAAAAGGUAUAAAAAAAAAGAAAAAAUGUGUUCAAAAAUAAAAAAAGAGUGUCAAACAAAAUAGAGUCAGAAAAAUCCCAAAAAGAGAGUUGAUGGCGAAUAUUGAUAGUAUCAUAUUUUAGACCAAGGAUUGAUAGGAAAAUCGUAGGUUCGGGUAGACAAAUUUAGGGAUGAUGUUUGGUUGAAUGCUUGAAAUCCGUGUUGAAUGGCUUGGUAUGUUCAUUUUUUGGAUCAAAUGUAUCAUUUGGCCGAGGAAUGCCCCGAGCGAUUUGUAUUAAUUUAUUUGAGAAAUGCCCUAAAGUAUUUUAUUGGUGGAAGACAUUCUUGAUGAAGGCCUGAGGCGUCGGGUAAACCACGGGAGCGUAGUUAGGAUUAGUAUAGGUUAGAUAGGAUUUAUUUUUGCAUUUUUUAUUUUGGGACUAUAUAACUCGAACUGGACUUUAUUUUGGUUUUGAACUCUAUUUGAUUUGUUUGUUGCUUUCUUUACGUGUUUUUGUGUGAUUUAUACAUCUGUGAUAUCAAAUUAGCCGAUAUGCUCCACCAAGUGACCGUGGUCAAACCACGAGAUCGAGGGGUUCCUAACACCUUCCCCUGGGUUAACAAAAUUUCUUAGCCGGAGUCUCUGUUCGCAAACCAGUUGAAAGAGUCAAAUUGUUUUGAAAAGGAUCUUUUAAAGGUGACUUGGCACACCGGAUUAUGUCAAGUGGUGACUCUGAAUAAAAAAUGUAAAUAAUCCUUUUUCGAAAUAAAUUUUUAAUCUUUUGUCACUUUGAUAAUAAAAACCCUUUUGACCCUUAAAAUGAUAAUCUUUUUUUUGUUGUUGAAAAAGGGGGUGUGACACAAAUAAUUAAAAUCCCUCUUUUGUGAUAACCUUAUGUUUAUGUUCUUAUGGUGAUUGAUUGAAAUGCAUGAUUUAUAGCUUGAAAAUAGUUUACUCAAAUACCAUAGUAUUUUGAGCACGAUAUAGAGAUUUAAGAGAGGGAGUUUUUUGAUGUAAAUAUAUUUUGUUAAAAGAGAAAGAUUUGCAUGAGAUUAAGAGCUUUGACAUGACCACCUUUCAUCAUUGAAAGUUUGACAAAGAGAGUUGCACACAUGUGUUUACAUGAGUUUUAGAGAAAAAGUUCUUUGAAAUGAUUUAUUGAUAUGGUGGUCCCGAAUUUAUGUUUUGAAAACAGAGAUUGAAAUAUGCUAAAAAUGGCUCAGAGAUGUAAUUUGCAAGUCAAUGGUAUGACGAUACUAUAUAAAUUUAUGCCAUAACAGAGUUAGAGUUUUCAGAGAAUGGAUGUCUUCAAGAGUUAAAAAUGGGCAUAAAGAGAGUUAGGUGGUUGCCUGAAGAGUGCUCGAGUUCAAGUAACUCUUAGCCUAAAAUCGUGAUUUGUCGAUCCGAGUAUCUUAGUUUUAUGCUGGCGACGGCCUUGUGGAGUAGAAGAGUCAAAGACUCCAACUCUUGUGGCACACUUGGGUUGGAGGCUUCCCCGCUGAGUCAAUGGCAGAGUCCAUAUAGCCCAUGGAAUUUCAGUGUUGUAGGGUAUACCACCUAGCGCAGAAGUAAAACAAAGAGUGUUGCAGAGUUCAGAUGAUUUUACAAAGUCUUUCAAAAAUGCCCAUGAGAUUUCUUACUAUAUGAUAUGUUUAUGAACUGUCUUAAAAUUGCUCUCAUAUAUGUUGAAUAUAAAUUAUUAUUUUGGAUUUGCUCUGCGUACUAGUACAUCUGUAUUGACCCCCUACCUCCCAGGUUUGGAGGCUCAGUCUGAGGGUCCGGCUAAUCAGUAGAGUAUUCCAGAGAAAAGUGAUCCAUGCAGUGGUGAGCCUUCUUUGUUCCAGAAGGCCUGUUAUUUCGGAUUAUGUUAUUCCAGUGUUUGGUCUACUGGGGGCCUUGUCCCAGUUUUCAAAAUAGUUUUGAGAUGUAUUAGAGAUUUCGUAGACUAAAUCAGAUCUUAUCCAGAAGUUUUGAAAUUAGGCAAGGACUUGUGAAGAUUCUGUUAGUGCCUCAGAGUGUAUUGAUUCUAGUGUGAAUUUUGAUUCUGAUGAAAUCAUGCUUUUGAGCCUGCGGUAUUAAGUGCAUUCAGGCCCUUUCAAAAUUUUGUUAUGUUGCAGAUGUCAUGAUUAAGAGGGAAUGAGGUGUAGAAGAAUGUUGGAACUAUAUUUCCACCCGAGUAAUAGUACAAGUUAUAGUGUCGGUGUUAUGACCUAUUGCUAGUGAGAUUAGACCAAGAAGUUGGUGAUACGAAGUCACAAGGUUAGAAUUCAGAGUGAGGAUGACUUUUGUGUAGAUAAAUGUGUUUAGUUGAAUAACUGAUGUUUGAGGAUUAUUUACCCCUCUAUAGUGAUAGACUAAUGUGGUAGCUAGUAGCUUGUGUGGAUUGUAUGGUAGUCUGUAGGAUUCUUUCGAUUCACUAGCGUAGUUGCCUUGUCAUUCCUCUCAUUUUCUUGUUCAAAACACAAAAUCAAUGUAUAGUUGAGCCGUGUGGUGUCUGUUUCGAUUCACUAGCAACUUGUUGUCCAUCUUGCUGAUUCUUGUGUUGGUUGGAACUGAGGGUUUAGAGGCGUAAUGACAAGAAAAAUAGUAAGGCCGAUUUAUUGAAUGUAUGUAUAGCUAAACCUUUUUGCAUGAGAUUGAGUUAGUAUUAAAGUGAUACGUCCUUAUUGUUAGUUUAGUAGAAGGUAGAGAAGGAGUUAUUAGCUACGGUGAGUUGUUCUUUGCUCGAAGUAUGAAAAUGGCUAGAUUAGCCAGUAAGUUAUAAUUAUAGACACAAGGUUGUUUAUUGAAUUUGAAGGUAGUCUGAAUGUACGCUUGGGUAAAUAAGUGUGAUGUGAGAAAGCCUUAUAAGUAGAUAAGAUUGUAUGGGGUUAUAAUAUAAGAUUAAGGUUGACCAUGUCUAUUAUGUGACUCUACCCCACUUGACCUUCUUUUCUUUGGUAGUUGUAAACUAGUACUACUUGUGAGAAGGUAUGUAGUAGAUUUUGAGGCAUAGCAGUGAUGUCAUAAAAGUGUUUUGGUUGUGGGUCAUAUCUAAAUAAAAUGAAAUAUUUCGGUAGAAUAUCCCAAUUUGAUGGACUAGUAUAUUAUCUUGCAUUCUUCAUUGGAGGUAGAUGAUUGAUUCUAGACUAUAGGCUUGAUGUAUUGAAAUAGUGCGUGUUAAUGAAUUAUAAUAAGAAAAUCGUAAGGUCAUGAUCGAUUAUUGUGGCUAUAGAGUUCUAGUGUACUAUUGUUUCUCGAUGUUUUAUUUCGUAGUUUUCAAGUGAAAAUUGUGUGUAAGGUUGGGUUAUAAAUCAUGUUUAGCCCUAGACAUUAAGUUUGAACAGUUGAUGGCUAUGAAGGUGGAGGUGAUUAUUUCUUGGUUAAUGAGACUAGUUUUAUGGAAGCGAUCUAAUAGGCUUGAACAGUGCAUGCAAGAGCUUAAGUUUAUUUGAUUCAUAGUGAAGUAUGAUGUUGUAUGUAUGAAGUAGAAGUAUGCCAAGGUGAUAUGAGGUUGCGGUAUUUUUCUAAGGCUAUUACAUGUUGUAAGUGGCUAGUGUUACCGUUGAGUUGCUAGGUCGAGAAACACUAGUUAGAUGGUAUAUGGUGUUCUAAUAGCCAAGUUAAGGAGUUUUGAUAGAUAAUGUUAAGCCUUUUGAUAUGAUCUUGAUUCUCAUAGUAGAGAGAUAUAAGUUUGGAGUCGUGAUGCUGGUAGACUAUGACAGAAGUGGUAUGGUCCGUCAAAGAUUAGGAGAUAUCCAUGUUUAGUGUUAGAAGAAUCUGAGUUGGUGAAUGUUUAAGAUGUUAUAUGAUGACUUUUGGGGAUAUAGAAACCUAAGGGUUGAAUCUUAGAAGGAGGUAUUAACAGUGGUUGUUAUACAUGAAGAUACUGUCUUACAGGGUAAGUUUAGUUUUAUGUGUAUAGUUAUAUCCCCGACUCUAGAGUAAAGUGAUUUCAGUUUAUACCAGAGUGUAUAUAGUGGUCCACAGACUUAGAGUAACGGCUUAAAUCUAAGGGCGAGAUGAUAGAACGAGUAACCAAGUCAAGUUUUCAGAUGCUAAUAGAUGUGCUAUUAAGUUGUGGAAUUGGCUGUGAGAAAGAAUGAUACUCAAUCUAUUCUUAUUUCAGCAGUUUUGCCUCAGUUAUUCUGACACAUACUCAUGCUUUAUAUUUCAGCCUCAUGAUCAUAGCUCGUGUGAUACUUUUAACGAUCAGUGAAAAUUCAGAUUUAUAUAGGUACGUCCUUAGAUUAGAUCUCUUUAAUAAGUCCAUGCCAUGAGUGCUCUAUUCCUCACGCCUCAGUAGGGUAUCAAGUUUGCUUAGUACUCCCUUAUGUUUCGGGUCUCGAUAUUCCAAUUUGCAGUGACAUUUUCCCUUAGGCCGAGAUAGUGAUAAUGAAUAGUUGUUUAGAUGGGAAAGAGGAAACAUUUCUUGUUGAUGAAAGAUGGUUGUAUGCUUAUUUGAGUUAAGGUGGUAAUUAUAGAGUAAGAUUGACGUUGAGUCUUUGAUACGUGUCAAGGUUAGUUGAAGUUUUAUGUGUUAUAUUUUGGAAAAAUUGUUGUGCACUUGUUUUAUAUAAGUCUAUAAGUUGAAAGAAUUUUGAGGUGAAGUUUCGUGUAUGGCUUGGUUAGUUGAGGAUAUUUUAUGUGUAUCAUUUGAAUAGUGCAGGAAAGUUGUUGUGGAUAGAAGUAUUAGAGAAUAUGAGAAAUAUCCUUUAUGAGUGGUUGUUCAGAAGUGCAUAUGUGGGUAUGAAGAUAGGCUUAAAUGUCAUGUUUGUGUGCAUAUGGAUGGAUGCCUUGAGUGUUUGUGAAUGUCUAAUACGAAGUUGAAGGUGAUUGUUGGAGUGGCAAUAAGAAUUAUGCAGGAGAUGAGGAAGUGUGAAAUGCAGGGUAUGCUAAAUUCAUGAUUCAGACUAGUACUACAGUAUUAUAUGGUGUGUUUUGUGAUUUUGAGUUAGGCUUGAAGAUGAUAAGGGGAUUUAGUUCAGUUUAGACAUUAGUAGAUGGAAAUAUCAGCGGCCAUGUGAGAAAAAUAAGUGGAAUCAAUGAGCAUGGUAUUUAAAGGGAAAGUAUAGUUGAAAGAGUAUUUUAGAAGUGUGGCUAAUCUUGAAAGUAAGAAGUUUCAAUGCCUAAGGUUUGGUAAUUCUAUCCUAGUUUACGAGUUAUAUGUCUAUAUUCCAUGCUAUAGAGUAGUGUCAUUGUUGUGAUUCCUUAGUUGGAUGUCUUGUGUAACUCACGUCAGAGAUUUUUUGUUCCCUAAUGGUACUAGAACUUCUUUAGAAAGAGUAUUGAAGAGAUACUCCAGUUAAGUAUAAGUGUCCAGUAUAAUUCAGUUUAACAGUCAGGCAGACAAGUUACUAUGGUUUUCCACCUUUUCACCCAGUCUUACUAUCUGAAGUCCAAUGCGUAUGACCAUCCCAAAAGAUAAUUUAUUCCAUCCGUGUAAGUUGCGAACUUAGUUCAGUCCAAGCAUCAUGUUUCAGAUUCAGUUAUUUAGUCAUGACUCAGUUAAUAAGAGUUCAGCACAUAAUCUGAAAUUUUUCCAACUAUUUUAGCUCAGACAGUGUAAUACGAUCUAAAUCUUAUUGACUCAUGAUUCGUACUUACCUAAGUUAUCACUUCCAAAUCCAAUGUGUGUGAUUUGAGCAUAAACACUUUGGGGGAAAUCUUAAACUCUUAGCAUGAAUCAGCUCCUUAAAACAAGGGUAAGUCAGCUUAGAAUUCAGUUUUAUGAUAGAAGUUUAAAUGUUUCGGAUCAGUUAUAUCCUUUCUUAGAAGAAACAUCAGAUCCGCGUUAUUCCAUACCUUUAAGCUUCAACUUUCCUACCCAUCAUUCUGGGAGAAUGAUCCCAAGGGGGAGAUAAUGUAACACCCUGCAUUUUGGGCUAGAAUAAAAAUCGUCAUUUCUAUGCUUAGAUGAUCUAAAAUCCAUAAAUCCUAUGAAAAUUUUCCAUGAUAAUCAAUUAUGUUGUGUGGAAAAUUGAAUGAGCUUUCCGUCGAUAUAAGAUUCGCCUAAAUUCGGUACCCGGGCAAGAUGUUAUGGCUAAUUUAAGUCCUAGUCGUAAAACACCAUCAUUUUAGUGCUUGAAGCAUCGCGAAGGUGGUCUAUUUAAAAAGUGUCAAAUUCCAGUAGACUAGCUUGAUUAUGGCGCGUCAUGCUGAAGUUCCAGGUCCCAAACAGUGGGACAACGCGAUGGCUCCGCGUCGUGGUGACCCCAAGAAUCUCAUUCGUCAAUUUUCAGUUAUAUUUUAUUUCAUGUCAUUAAGGCUACGUUGGGUAAUUUUCACCCCCAUUAUCAGCUUAAACAUGAGAUUUUUCCCCCAAGUGACCACAUUGUUCAUAUUUUCUUCAAAAAUUCAUAAGGACACUCUCUAGGGUUUCAAACUAAAAACCCAAAUAACUAAAGAUUCAACCGUGGGUUUUUGAAACUGAUUAAAGAUUUGGAAUCCCCAAACCAUAGGCUUCAAGAAUCAUCCAUCAAAUUUCUAAAUUGAGGUACGUGGGGUUUAUCCUAAAACUACAUGGGCUUGUUGAAAACACCCAAUUAUGAUUCAAAAAUCAUCAAGCAUGAAUUUGUUAAAGGUGUUUUGAGAUCCAUGACCUUAUUAUGCUUUAUGCAUGUUUAAUGAUAUUGAUGUUUUGGCCUUUAGGUCUUAUCCCCUUAAAUUGAUUUACACAUAUAAGUAUAUGUAUGAAACUUGAAAUUGAAGAUUUGUUUGAGAGCACAAAUAAUGAAAAUCCCUCUCUUGUGAUCACCUUAUGUUUAUGAUCUUAUGGUGAUUGAUUGAAAUGCAUGAUUUAUGGCUUGAAAAUAGUUUACUCAAAUACCAUAGUAUUUUGAGCACGAUUUAGAGAUUUAAGAGAGGGAGUUUCUUGAUGUAAAUAUAUUUUGUUAAAAGAGAAAGAUUUGCAUGAGAUUAAGAGUUUUUACAUGACCACCUUGCAUCAUUGAAAGUUUGACAAAGAGAGUUGCAUACAUGUGUUUUCAUGAGUUUUAGAGAAAGAGUUCUUUGAAAUGAUUUAUUGAUAUGGUGGUCCCGAAUUUAUAUUUUGAAAACAGAGAUUGAAAUAUGCUAAAAAUGGCUCAGAGAUGUGAUUUGCAAGUCAAUGGUAUGACAAUACCAUAAAUGUAUGCCAUAACAGAGUUAGAGUUUUCAGAGUAUGUUUUCAGAGAAUGCAUGUAUUAAAGAGUUAAAAAUGGGCAUAAAGAGAGUUAUGUGGUUUCCUGAAGAGGGCUAGAGUUCAAGUAACUCUUAGCCUAAAAUCGUGAUUUACCGAUCCGGGUAUAUUAUUUUUACGCUGGCGAUGGUCGUGUGGCGUAGCAGAUUCAGUGACUCCAACCCUAGUGACACACUUGGGUUGGAGGCUUCUCCACUGAGUCAAUGGCAGAUUCCAUAUAGCCCGUGGAAUUUCAGAGUUGUAGGGUAUACCACCUAGUGCAGAAGUAAAACAAAGAGUGUCACAGAGUUCAGAUGAUUUUACAAGGUUUUUCGAAAAUGCCCAUGAGAUUUCUUACUAUAUGAUAUGUUUAUGAACUGUCUUAAAAUUGCUCUCAUAUAUGUUGAAUAUAAAUUAUUAUUUUGGAUUCUCUCUGCGUACCAGUACAUCCGUAUUGACCCUCUACUUCCCAGGUCUGAGGGUUCAGCUAAUCAGUAGAGUAUUCUAGAGAGAAGUGAUCUAUGCAAUGGUGAGCCUUCUUUGUUCCAGAAGGUCUGUUAUUUCAGAUUAUGUUAUUCCAUUGUUUGGUCUACUAUGAUAAGAGAAUGACCACGGUAACACUAAACUAACACCAAAACAGUCCACUAGUUUGAAGAACCGAGGACUCCUUUGGUGACCACUCUCGGAUUCACUACAAAAUAACGAAAACACAAUAACAACAAGAUACUGAAGGUUUAAAUACACCAAAAUAGCAACAAUAUGGCAAUAUGGACUAUAAUAACAAGAUAGGAACAACACAUGGUUUUACUAACACUAGAUAGAAAUGGUUACAAGAACACAAACUACUACAAGAUUACAAUAAAAGUAAAGGGAUAGUUAGAUAGACUUAAUGAAGGUAAAAUCUUAAGGACCCAAGAGCAUAUUCCACUCUUGGACCCUUAACACUACACACAACGUUCACCUAUCUCUUACAAAGACACAAGGUCGUAAUCUACCUCCCAAGCAUCAGUUUCAAAGCCAUGGAAUCAACAAGAGUGAGUCCACAGUUUAUAUGCCUAAUUUCGGUUUUGGUGCCUUAAGGAGAGAGGAAUUGUGUUUCUUUGUGUUUCAAGACUUACAAAAUCAUUAAUAAUCUAAGUCUAAAAUCCCUACAAUGUUUUACUUAUAAUAGGUUACAAAUAAAAUACAAAAUAUCCAAAAUGCCCUUUUAAGAACUAGGCUCCCUUCAAGUGCAUUUAGGGGCUGCCUUGUUGUGUUCCAAGGCUCCUCUUUACACUCCAAGUGUGAGAUUAGGGUUGUUUUGAUGUGUUUUAAGUCCUUCACUCACACACUCCAAGCCUCGGGUUCAUUACAUUCUCACAUGCAUCCAUCUUCGUGGUCGUACUUGUAUCAUCCUCCCCUCAUUUAAAAGGAUUCAACCUCGAAUCCAUGCCUUGCAAAAUCAAAGAGAGACAAACAAGCAUUAGAAAAAACAAACAAUAACGGUAUGCGCUCAUAACACUCAAAAAAUCCCACACCAAAAAAAAAUCGAGGACCCUUUGAGUUCAAGUCUCGGGCAACAACAAGUCUUGACAUUCUAAGGUGGUUCAUAUUUGACAUAUAACCAAGAGUCCUUACAGUUAAACAUUAUGAAUCCAUCGAAAAAUUCACCAAGGACAUGGAUAUGAUAACCACCCAAAAGAAACGCACUUAAGCCAAGAGUAGAUCUUUCCCACCCUAAGAUGGCACCGGGAUCAAAUGGGAAGAGUGACCAUAGACACGGGUCUAAAGAACACACCCAUUUCCCAUAGUCUUUACCAUAACCACAUGGCCUACUCUCAUUGGCAUACAUAUCAUCACAAGUAAAGAGAUAUUAGAGAAAGGUGGCACUCAAUUCUACUUCUACUAUGGUGUCUAUGUAAAAUCCACACAAAGUAGAAGAAGCAAUUUCCAAGACCAGACAUUCCUUACCCUUAAGAGUACUCUCAUCUUCCAAGAAGAGAUUUUCAUCUUUAGGAGUAAUUUUGUCACACCAUAGUAGGUUAGCAUAUAGGCUAUAGCUUCCAAGGCAAGCUAUACCAUCAUUUUCACCACUAGGUCUAUUAGGAGUGUUUAAACUAUCUUCAAAUAAGACAUUGUACCUAAAGAGUGAAUGAUCUAGCCCGUGGAUAGAUUUGGAAAUUUCACUCUCUAAGGAAUCAUUAUCAUGUUUCAAAGAUAUGCAAAGUACACAAUUAACCCUAUGAGCCAAGCAAACAUUAGAAUCUUUACAACAACAUAGGCUCACGGGUUCACUCCUUUUUCCUUGACCAACAUUUUCAAAUUCUUCUCUAACUUGAGACUCAUUAAUGACAUCACACAUAUUCUCAAGUGGUAGGAAAGUUUUACACACAAGUUGGUCAACACAAUUUUUGUAUGACGAUGUACUUUCAUUCAACACAAUAGCUUCAACACUAGGUGGACAUAAAUCGAUCUUACUAGAAGAGCCGAUUUGGUCAUCUAUCGGAUCAACUAGUGUAUCCACUCGCACAACAUGUACAUCAUCUAAAAAUGGUAAGGAAUCAAUAUACUCAUACGUAGGUAAUCUGCUACUCACACUCAAUGGCUUAUUAGUCACAUGUUCAUCAUCCACAUGUACCAAAGUGUAAGAGAUAUCUAUUUUACCUUGACGUUCAUGAGUAUGUUUGUCUUUACCUUGGUGUGAAAGUCCUUUACAAGUUUGGGCAGCAAAUUCCUUCGAGAAGAUCUCACCAUAAGGUGUUUGGACCUUAGGUUUUGGAUUUGUUGGGAUAAGUGUGGAUACCAAUUGGCGUAGCCUUUCAACGUGCCAUUUCAUGUCUUCAAUAUUGUUAGUGAUGCGGUCAAAUAUGGCAGCAAUGGUACUGAAAAUAAAAUACAACAAUGAACAACAAAACAAACAAACUUGUUAGCUCAAAAAUGCCUCACCACACUCUCACUCUCGAUUUUUACCUCACACUUGGUUUCACAAGUGUUGAAAGCCGAAUUGUACUUCGUGAGUGAUUGAGGAAGGAGUCCACCUUGGUCCGGAAUAGAUUUUCAUUUGAGUUGACUCAAACAAAAUUUACUUACGAACUUGAACCAACAAGAUACAACGAAUUCACAAAAGAGAGAAAAGCACAAAAGAAACGUAGACAUGAACAACGGAUUCAAGAACUAAGUGACAACCUAGUAGAAGUUUACUAGCUUGUUAAUUAGUGCUAUGAUCAAUUAAACGAAGCUAAGAGACAACAAAAUGAAACUAAUAAAUGUAAAAUUUUGAGCUCGAAAAUAUUGCGUAAACAGUAGCAGCGAUGAUGUGACAGCCACGUAUUGGUUUUGUUUUAUCAAAUGGUUAUUCUCAAAUGUUCAAGUCUUGGUCAAAAAUUAAUUUGGAUUGGUGGAAUUUGUUUUAAGAGAGAAAAUAAGUCUUGGAUCCUUUUUCAAUUUUCAAGACUUGACCUUUUCUUGUACUUCUCCUUAAAACAUGGGUCCUUAAAUCAUGGAAAAGUGGUUGAGAAGUGAAAUAAAGUCUUUUGGUGGUUGGGGGUCUUUCAAGACUAACAAGUACAUACACUUUUUUCCUUCACAUUUUAGGAUCUAGCAUUCACUUUGUGUUCUAAAAAUAUAUGAAGUAAGGUGAAGAACUUCAAUAACAACAACAACCACACCAAGACCAAUAACAACAAUCUUCAAGAACAACAACAAUUCCAACAUCCAACUCCAAUCCACAAUAACAAAUGACCAAGUCUCUUUAUUAUUGUGUCUUCGGUUUUAACAAGAGAUGAAGGUUGUGAAGAACUUCAAGAACAACAACAACAACAUUCACCAAGAAAAACAAAAAUAACACUCCUUUCAACAACAACAAUGUCUACCACACGAUCUUACUUGUUCACGACAACAACAAUAAAUCUCAAACUUAGAUAUAGACUCAAGUGUUAGUGAAGAACAAACAUAACACUAGAAACACUCAAGAAAAACAAAAAUCUCAACUAAGAUAAAACAAGAAUGCAAUUCUCGGCCAAGAACACAACACGAACAGAUUGCACUUUUUCUGGAAUUUUAGUAUUUCAACAACUUUGUUUUCAACUACCAAGCCCAAGAUUGAUCUUAUGGAAACAAGAUCAAGCCAUUAUUUGAUAGUAUCACAGGAACACUAAACAAACACCAAAACAGUCCACAAGUUUGAAGAACCGAGGACCCCUUUGGUGACCACUCUCGAAUUCACUACAACAACAACGAAAACACAAUAACAACAAGAUAUUGAAGGUGUAAAUACACCAAAAUAGAAACAAUAUGGCGAUAUGGACAACAAUAAAAAUAUAGGAACAACACACGGUUUUACUAACAAGAUAUAGAAAUGGUUACAAGAACACAAACUACUACAAGAUUACAAUAAAAGUAAAGGGAUAGUUAGAUAGACUUAAUAAAGGUAAAAUCUUAAGAACCCAAUAGCAUAUUCCACUCUUGGACCUUUAACACUACACACAACGUUCACCUAUCUCUUACAAAGACAAAAGGUCAGAAUCCACCUCCCAAGCAUCACGUUUUCAAGCCAUGAGAGCAAUAAGAGUGAUUCCACACUCUAUAUGCCUAAUUUUGGUUUUGGUGCCUCAAGGAGAAAGGACUUGUGUUUAUUUGUGUUUCAAGACUUACGAUAUAAUGAAUAAUCUAAGUCUAGAAGCCCUACAAUGUUCAAUUUAUAAUAGGUUACAAAUAAAAUGCAAAAUAUCCAAAAUGCCCUUUUAAGAACUAGGCUCCCUUCAAGUGUUUUUAGGGGAUGCCUUGUUGUGUUCCAAGUCUCCUCUUUAAAAUCGUGAGAUUAGGGUUGGUUUGGUGUGUUUUAAGUCCUUCACUCGUACACUCCAAGCCCCGAGUUCAUUACAUUCUCACAUGCAUCCAUCUUCGUGGUCGUACUUGUAUCAGUCUACUGGGGGCCUUGUCCCAGUUUUCAAAGUAGUUUUGAGAUAUAGUAGAGAUUUUGCAGACUGAGUCAGAUCUUAUCCAGAUGUAUUGAAUUGCAGCUUUUAUUCUUAUAUCUUGAAUCUUAGAGUUAAUGACCAUGUUUCUGUAUCAGAUUGUAUUUCCGCAUCUUAUCUUAUUAUAUGAAUGAUGUGCAUGGCUACCAGAUAGAGUAGGGCAUUCGGGCCUUCAGGGUUCGGGAUGUCCACCAUGUACAGGCCCUAAUUCGGGUCGUGUCAUUAUCUAUCCCUAUAAAUCUUCUAUUCUAUCCCAUCACAUCUGCUCUACUAAAGUCACUAUUAUUCUCUUUAACUACUAAAUCAAAUCUAUGUAAAUACACUAAUAUACAAUAAUAUAUGGUUACAUUAAUAUAUACAAUAUUUACAUCAUGCUAACAUCCCCCUUCGAAUUGAUGCUGGUAGAUCAAGACGCAUCAAUUUGCCGACCAGAAACUGAUGUAGUUGUCGUUCCAUUGAUUUUGUAAAUGUAUUAGCUAUUUCAAGAUCACUAGACACAUGCAGAAGAGUAAUGAUACCUUUAUCUACAGCUUCUCGUAUAUAAUGAUAGUCUAUUUUAUUUUGAUGUGUUUGGUUCGCUCAAGAUAAAUCGGAUUAGUAGCAAUCUGAAUAGCACUUGUAUUAUCAUGGAUAGGAGUAGGAUUAGAUUGAGGAAAUCCAAUCUCAGCAAGUAAUCCACAAAGCCACACAAUCUCGGAGCAAGCAGUAGAUAUUGCUUGAUAUUCAGCCUCUGUUGAAGAUUUUGACACGGGGUCUUACUUCUUACUCUUCUAAGAUAUCAAAGACUCUCCAAGAAACAUGCACCAACUAGUAAAUGAAUGAUGAGUUUCAGAACAUCCCGCCCAAUCAGAAUCACUAAAAGCAUUAAGACGAAUAGGAGAACUACUACGAAAGAAUAAUCCAUGAUUAGAUGUUCCUCGGAGAUAUUGAAUGAUGCGAUAGACAACCACCAAAUAAAUAUUAUGGGGAGCUUGCAUGAACUGAGUAACUUGUUGAACUGGCAAAGAGAUAUCAGGUCUAGCAUAAUAGUAAGGUAAAUUAAUGUAACACCCCAUAUUUUGGGCUAGAACGAAAACCAUCAUUUCUAUGCGUUAGAUGAUCCAAAAUCAAUAAAUCCUAUGCAAAUUUUUCAUGUUAAUCAGUUAUGUAGUGUGGGAAUCUAUUUGAGCAUGAAUUGAGAUCAUAGACGUCCCAAAACUCAAGGACGAGUUAAAAGCUUUCCUAUCGUUCGAGUUUGAGUGAGAGUCAAAACUUGGGUCAACUUCAAUCCACCAUAACCCUUUGUAUAUAAUGAAUUACAGGGCCUACUAUAUAUCAAAUGAAAUCUCUUCGAAUUAUAUUUCCAACGAUACUAAUUUUACCAAAAUCUGAUACCCAAGCAAAAAGUUAAGGCCAUUUUCGUGACUGAGAUAGUAGCAUCGCACCAUUAGCGCAUGACGCACGCACCUAAUUUCUAAGUUUUUUUUUAACAUUUUUAAGGGAAAAAUUGUAUUUUCCACCCCCCCCCCCAUUCAGCCAUAACACGAGAUUAAAUCCCUCUAACACCAAAAUAAGGUUAUUUUCUCCCAAAAUCACCAAGAACACUCCUUAGAGUUUCAACCCAAAGAUGAAUAUAUCUCAAGAUUUAACCGUGGGUUUUUCUUAAUUCUUCAAGAUUUGGAAUCCCCAUUGCGAGGGCUAGAAGAAGCACCCCUAAAUCGUACGUAUAGCAUCCCAAAAGCUAGAGUUCAUUCAAAAGAUUCUAAUUUAAGGUACAUGGGGUGUAUCCUAAAACUACAUGGGUUUGUUGAAAACACUCAAUUAUGAUUUAAAGAUUAUCAAGCAUAAAUUUGUUAAAGGGGUUUUGAAAUCCAUGAUGUUAUUAAGCUUUAUACCUGUUUAAUGAUAUUGUUGUUUUGGCCUUUAGGCCUUAUCCCCUUAAAUUGAUUUACACAUAUAAGUAUAUGUAUGAAAAUCGAAAUUGAAGAUUUGUUUAAGAGUAUAAAUAAUGAAAUCCCUCUCUUGUGAUAAAUUAGAGUGUAUAAAUCUUAUUGCGAAUGACUUGAAAUGCAUGGAUUCUGGUUUGAAAUUAGUUUCCUCAAUGUUACAGUAUUUGAGCAUGAUUUAGAUAUGAUGAGAGGGAGUUCCUUGAUAUAAUAAUGUUUUUGAUUUGAAGAGAAAGAUUUGCAUGAGAUUGAGAACUUUGACAUGACCACCUUGUGCUAUUAAAAUGUUGAAAAAAAAGAUAAAGUUUCUUGCAUGUGUUUACAUGAAUUUAAAGGAAAGAAUUCUUUGAAUUUAUUUAUUGUUAUGGUGGUCCCAAACUGCAUGUUAUGAAAGAAGAGAUGAUAAUGUGCUAUAAAUAACUUUGAGAUGUCACUUGCAAGUCAAUGGUAUGACGAUACCAUAUAAAUGUAUGUCAUAAUAGAUUUAGAGUUUUCAGAGUUUGAUUUCAGAGAAUACAUAUUUUAAAGAGUUAAAAAUUAGGUUAAUGUAAGUUAGGUGGUUACCUGAAGAAAGCACGAGUCAAAUGACUCUAUGCUGGAAACCGUGAUUUGCCGACAUGGAAACUUGGUACCCUACUAUGUGAUCUUAUGUACCUAGUAUUUUGUCAUCCCAAAUUGGGACUUAUGGUUUGGAGCCCUGCUUUGUGAUCUUGAUCCCAACCAUGACAUAAUGACUUGAUUGGGAUUGUGGCACCCUAUUGUGUCAUCCUGUGUGCUCUUCCCUUACUAGUACUCCUAUCUUGGAGGAAACUGAAAUAAGGUAGUCGGUGAAAGCUAUAAAAUUGUAGGGUGUACCACCUAGCACAAAAGUAAAAUAAAGAGUAUGUCUCAGAGUUCAGAUGAUUAUUCAAAGUCUUUUAAAUAUGCCCAUGAAUUUUCUCAUCAUAUGUUAUGUUUAUGAACUGUUUUCAAACCUCUCUCACUUAUGUUAUAUAUAAAAUUGUUAUUUUGGAUUUUCUCUGUGUACCAGUACAAUUGUAUUGAGCCCCUACCUCCCAGGGUCUAAAGCUCAGUACAGAAGUCCUGCUAAGUCGUAGAGUUUUCAGACAAUAGUGAUAUGCACAGUUGGUGAUCCUUCUUUAUUCCAUAAGGUCUAUGUCUUUUAGAUUAUGUUAUUUAUUUUGGUUUAAGUACACUGGGGUCCUUGUCCCAGUUUUCAGAUAGUUGUUAUUUUCAGAUGUAGUAGAGAUUUUGCUAACUAGUUCAGACAUCGUCUAGUUGUUAUUGGGAUUUACUUUCUAUAUUAUAAAUUGAGUUCAGAUUCAUGACCAUGAUUCUGUUCAUUAUGUAUUUUCUGCAUUUUCUAUUUGUAUAUAAAUGGUGUAUAUGAUUACAAGUUAGGAGGUCUCUCGAGCCUUCAUGGUUCGAGAUGUCUGUCAUGGCUAGGGACUUGAUUCAGGUCGUAACAAACUUGAUAUCAGAGCACGGUUCAUGGUCCCAGGGUGUCUGUUAAAUUGUGUCGAGUAGAGUCUUGCUUAUGAGUGUGUAGCAUGCCACACUUAUAAGCAAGGGGAUACAAGGCAUUUAGGAAUGUCUCUCUGUCUUCAUGUUCUAGUUCGUGCAAUAGAGCCAGAAUGUUCCUCUUCAUACUCUAAUUCAUGAUAUGGUGUUGCUCAUCCAAAGGUAAUAAUCAUCCUAAUUCUUUCCUUACCUUGAUAUUUUUAGAUAUGUCUCAUUGUUGAGGUGAUUUAGGUGUAGAAGUCUAGAAUCUAAAUGGUAUGGUCCUUUCUGAUUGAGCCAUAUAAGAUUUUAAAAUUGUGCAAGGACUUGAGAAGAGUUUUUUAGUGCUUCAGAGUGUAUUGAUUCUAGUGUGAACUUCGAUUCUGAUGAGAUUGUGCCUUUCAACUUGCAGUAUUAAGUGUAUUCAGUCCUUUUCAAAAAAAAAUUAUGUUGCAGAUGUCAUGCCUAAAAAGGGGAAUGAUGUGCAGCAGAAUGUUGGAACUAUAUUUCCACCAGAAUAGUAGUAUGAGUUUAAGUGUUAUUGUCAUGACCUUUUGGUAGUGAUAUUGGACCAAGAAGUUAGUGAUGUGAAGUCACAAAGUUAGAAGUCAGAGUGAGGUUGACUUUUGUGUAAAUAAAUAUUUAGUUGAAUAACCGAUGUUUGAGGAUGAUUUACCCCUUUAUAGUGAUAGACUAAUGUGGUAGCUAGUAGCUUGUAUGGAUUGUAUGGUAGUCUGUAGGGGAAGUGUUUGACUCAAAUUUUUAUUUAUACAGAGUAAGAUGUGUAUUUUUAGAUCAUUGAUUAUUAUGUGUCAAGUUUCUAUCUCUUGUAAUCUUGCUAUCAUCGUGUUGUUGAAACUAAAAGUCUAGUGAAGCCGUGUGAGACCUAUUUCGAUUUACUAGCAACUUGUUGUUCAACUUGUUGUUCUUGUGUUGGUUUAAUAUAUGUAUAGCCUAAUCUUUUUGCAUGAGAUUGAGUUGGUAAGGAAGUGAUACAUCCUUGAGUGUUAGUUUAGUAGGAGGUAAAGAAGGAGUUAUUAUUCAAGGUGAAUUAUUGUUGGCUUGAAGUAUGAAAAUGGCUAGAUUAGCUAGUAGGUUAUAAUUAUAAACUCAUGGUGGUUAUGGAAUUUGAAGGUAGUCUAAAUGUACGCUUGGGUAAGUAAGUGUGAUGUGAGAAAGUCGUAUAAGUAGAUAAGAUUGUAUGGGGUUAUAAUAUAAGAUUAAGGUUGACCAUGUCUAUUAUGUGACUUUACCCGCCCCCCCCCCCCCCCGACUAGCUGUAAACUAGUACUAAUGAGAAGGCAUCUAGUAGAUUUUUUUUAGGUAUUUAGAUAGAAUGUCCCAAUUUAAUGGACUAGAAUAUUAUGUUGCAUUCUUCAGUGGUGGUAGAUGAUUGAUGCUAGACUCUAGGCUUGAAUUUAAUGUAGAAUGUGGAUGUAAGAAUAGUGGCUAAAGAUUAAUGAUGAAUGUUUUGUGAGAAUUGUGUGUUAGGUUGGGUUGUAAAUCAUGUUUAGCACUAGACAUUAAGUUUGAAAAGUUGAUGUCCAUGAAGGUGGAUGUGAUGAUUUCUUGGUUAAUGAUACUAGUUAUAUAAAAAUGAUCUAAUAGGCUUGAACGGUGUAUGCAAUGGAUUAAGCUUAUUUGAUUCGUAAUAAAGUAUGAUGUUGUAUGUAUGAUGUAUAAGUAUGCCCAAGGUGAUGUGGAGUUGCGGCAUUUUCUAAGACUAUUACAUGUUGUGUGUGGCUAGUAGUAUCGUUGAGUUGCUAGGUGGAGAAAGACUAGUUAGAUGGUAUAUGGUGUUCUAAAUAGCCAAGUUAAGGAGUUUUGAUUAAUAGUGUUGAGCCUUUUUAUAUGAUCUUAAUUCUCAUGGUAGAGAGAUAUAAGUUUGGAGUCAUGAUAUUGGUAGGCUAUGACGGAAGUAGUAUGGUUCAUCAAAGGCUUAGUGAUAUCCAUGUUAAGUGUUAGAAGCUAAGUUUGAGUUCUUGAAGGUUGAACUCAUAGAAAUAAGAGUUGAAGUGCUAGAGGGUGUGCACUCCGACUAUGGGGAUGCUCACGAGGAUUCGAAGUUAGUGUAUUGUCGUAUUCCAAACCCCAGAGUGCAGUGAGUGUAGUUGAGUUUAAAGUCUAGUAAGGGAUCUACCAGACUUGAAGAUGAUGGCUUAAAGCUAAGGGGGAGAUGAUAGAGUAAGUAACCAAGUCAGGCUCUCAGAUUCUAGUAGAAUUGCCAGUAUGAUAUAGAACAUCAAAAAGUGAGGGUGAGGCUCAACCCAUUCCUAUCUUAGUAUUUUUUUUUAGCUAUCCCAAUUCUUACUCAUGCUUUACAUUUCAGUUCCAUGAUCAUAGUUCAUGUUCAAGUAUAUGAUAGAGAAUCAUGUGCUCUUCUAAUUCCUAAAUGAGGAAUUCUAGUUCAUUCAGUAGUCGGGAUCACAUUCCAUAAGUUAUGAACUCCAAAUUGAGGUCAUGCAUCUCAUGACUCAUGUACUCAUGCUUUAUAGUGUGCUCAGUUCCCAUAACUCAUGCUACACGCCAAAUGAUUAGCGAGAUUCAGCUUAUAGAGAGGUAUACUCUCAAUUCAGAUCACUUUAAUGAAUCCCUGAUGUUGAUUCGUUGUUCCUCCGGCCUCAGUUAAGUGUCAAGCCUCGUAUAAUAUCCUUCCAUGCUUUAAUAUCUUAUGUUCUAACCUUUUAGUGACUCCUCCUUAUGUGAUGAUAAUGGUGAUGAGUAAAUGUUUCUUGUUGAUGGAAGAUCAUAGUAUGCUUGUUCUAGAUAAGGCCAUAAGUGAGAAGUAAGAUCUGGGGCCAAGUCUUUGACAUAUGUGAUGGUUAGUGGAAAUUUGUGUGCGUAUGUUGUUGGGGUAGCACGUGGGAGUUAUAUUGAUAGUGGUUUAGAUAAAAUAUGAAGUAUGUCUUUAUGGGUGGUUGCCUUAAAGUUCAUAUGCGGUUGUAAAGAUAGGCUUGAAUGACAUGUUAGGAUUUAGGUGGAGGAACGCAAUAUGUGCUAGUGAAUCCAUAGUAAAAGUUCAGAGCUAGUCAUUGAAGUGGAAAGUCACGUUAUUCUUAGGGUGUGAACUUUAUAAAGAUAUAAAAGGUUGAAUCAUAUGGUUUAGAGUAGUAUCAAGGAGUGGCAUGUUAUAUUUUGUGAUGUAGAGUUAGGCUUGAUCACGAUGAAAGGAUUUAAGCUACUUUAGACAUUAGUAGAAAGAUUUAUCAAUGCCUAUAUGAGGAUUAAAAUUUGAAUCAAAUGAGAAUGGUAUUUAAGGAGAAUAGUAUAGUUAAGGGAUAUUCGAGAAGUGUGCUAAGCUUGAAAGCAAGAAGUUGUAUUGCCUAAGGCCUGGUAAUUCUAUCCUAGUUUAUGAGUUAUAUAUCUAUAUUCCAUGCUAUAGAGUAGUGUCAUUGUUGUGAUUCCUUUGUUGGAUGUCUUGUGUAACUCGUGCCCAAGAUUAUUUACCCCCUAAUGCUACUAGAACUUCUUUAGAAAGAGUGUUGAAGAGAUUCUCCAGUUAAGUACAAGGGUUCAGCAUAAUUCAGUCUAAAUAGCCAGUAAUUCAGUUUUGCAACCAGGCAGACAAGUUAUGGUGGUUUUCCACCUUUUCACCUAGUCCUACUAUCCAAAGUCUCGAGCGUAUAACUGUAAUACCCCGUAUUUCGGGCUAGAACGAAAACAAUCAUUUCUAUGCGUAGAUGAUCCAAAAGCCAUAAAUCCUAUGCAAAUUUGGAUUUUAAUCAAUUACAUAGUGUGGAAACCUAUUUGAGCAUGAAUUGAGAUCAUAAAGGUCCCCUAACUCAAGGACGAGUUGAAAGUUUUCCUAUCGUUCGAGUUUGAGUGAGCGUCGAAACUUGGAUCAACUUCAAUCAACCAUAACUCUUUGUAUAUAACGAAUUAGAGGGCCUACUAUAUAUCAAAUGAAAGCUCUACAAAUUAUCUUUCCAAUAAUACUAAUUUCACAAAAAUCCGAUACCAGAGCAAAACUUUAUGACCAUUUUUAUGACUGAGAUAGUAGAAUCGCGCGAUUAGCGUGCGACGCAUGUUCUGUCACCGCACCCAAUUUUCAGGUCCAGUUUUUGCAUUUUUAAGGGCAAAUAUGGUAUUUUCCACCCCCUAUUCAGCCAUAACACGGAAUUAAAUCCUUCAAACACCAAAAUAAGGUCAUUCUCUCUCAAAAUCACCAAGAAUACUUCUUAGGGUUUCAACCCAAAGAUCAAAAUAUCUUAAGAUUUCACCGUGGGUUUUCAAUAAUUCUUCGAGAUUUGGAAUCCCCAUUGCAAGGGCUACAAGAAGCAUCCAUCAAUUGUUCGAAUAGCAUGCCUAAAGCACAAGUUCAUUCAAGAGUCAUAAAUUAAGGUACAUGGGGUUUUCCUUAAAUUUUUUGGGCAAAGAAACCAUCUUUAUUUCAUGCUAACAGGUUAGAAAUCAUGAUUUUUAAGAAAGGAGUUUUGAAUUUACAAUUACUAGCAUGUUUUAGAAGCCUUGAUCAGUAUUGUGUUGGUAUUUAGGCCUUCCCCCAAAUUGAUUUGAAACUCUAUAUAUAUGUAUGCAUGUGUUUAAGGAUAAAUAUACAAUUAAGAGCAUGAAUCCUAAAGAAUCCCUCUCUUAUUAUGAUUUUUUCCAUCUUUUAUAUGAUUGAAUUGUGUUUGAAAUGUCUUGAUUAUUGCUAUGACUUGAAUGUGAUUUUGAAUCCAAAAGAGAGGGUUGUGCAUAUUGAUAAACGUUGAAUACACUUUUAAUGAAAGAAUUGCAUGUUUGCCAAAAAUACAUGACCACCACAUGGUUAUUGAAAGAAUGAGAAUCUUAGCAUGGUUUUGACUUGUGCUUUCAGAACAUGAAAUUUCCUAUACUAUUUGCAUUCUUGGGUGGUUUGAAUUAUGUUUUAAUGAAAGAAUCAUGCAUGGUACAAUAUGGCUCAGAAAUAGGACAUGCAAGUCUUGGUGUGACGACACCAACUUGGUUAAAGCCAUAGUAAUUCAGAACAGAAUAGAACACGUGUUUGAAAUCAGAUUUAUAGAUUAUGGAUUCAAAAAUAUGCAUGUUUAGAAAAGGUUUAAAAAUGGGCUUAAAGAGAGUUAGAUGGUUACCUGAAGAAAGUAUAAGUUGAAAGACUCUAUGCUAGAAAUCGUGAUUUGCCGAUACGAAAUUAUGGUACCAUGCUUGGUGAUCUUGUGUACCUUGAUUCAUGUCAUCCCAAAUUGGGACUAUAGUUAGGAGCCCUGCUUUGUGAUCUUGUGCACUACCAUGACAUGUUGAUUUGAUUGGGGAUUUUGGCACCCUGUUGUGUGAUCUUACGUGUCCUCCUUAUAGAUGCUCCAAUCCAUGCGGUAAACUUGGAUUGGGGGCUUGGCCGCCUAGUCAAGGGAAGAUUCCAUAUAGCCCCUGGAAUUACAGAUUAUAGGGUAUAUCAUCUAACUCAGAAGUAAGACAAAGAGUGAGUCAUGGUUUCAAAUAAAUGAUUCAAAGUCUUUAAAAUGUGCCUAUAUGUUUUCAUAUAUUAUAUGUAAAAUGUUUUAUGAAUUGGUCUCACUUAUGCUAUAUAUAAAUACAUUAUUUUGGAUUGUUGUGCAUACCAAUACAUCUGUAUUAACCUCUCUCGCUUCCAGGUUCUAAGGCUCAAUCUAGGGGUCCCAAUAAGCAGUAGAUUUUCUCCAGACAGAAAUGUAGAGUUCCGUGGUGAGCCUUCUAUAUUUCAAAAGGCC
rnacentral:lncRNA from 1 species